AAACUCUGCCCCUACCGCAAAAGCUCUCUCUCUCUCUCUUUCCCUCCCCCACAAAGAGGCUCCCUUAUCUCUCACUUUACAUACCGGCCAUAGCCCUCCCGCCGCCCAGCUUCCCGCCGCCCAGCUUCCCGCCCAGCAGUUCAAACUGACCAACAGUUGCCCACCACCUCGGCUUUUGGCUUCCCCACCCCCAGCCCUUCAGCCCCCUAUAAAACAACCCUGCCCCUUUGAGCGGCGCGGCCAUUUUUCCUUUUCGUCCCGGCUGGCCUGCCCGGAGGCUCUUUCCUCUCAAUAAAGCCUGAACUUAAGGAAUUUCCUCUAGCCUGCGGUCCGGUUUUUUCCGAACGAGCUCAGUCUUCCCGCAGAGGGUAGGUCGGACGAAUGGUGCCGGAAACCCGGGACGGGAGCUGAGGCCGUUGGCCCGGCCACGGCCCCCCUCCCCGACCUACCCAACACUGGCCCUGCCACCUCCACGUUCCGAUUAAGGUAAGCCAAGUUUUUCUUGCUUUGCCUUCCCCCGCUUCCCGUCUCCCCUUCCUACGGCACGGUGCAGUUGCUCCCUCUCCGGCGUUCCGCACGGACUCCUUGCCUAGUCUCGGCCGAGCCAAGGUAGUCUUCCAUUCCGGCUCCAGGAGCCUUCCGAGGGACAGCCGCCAGACGGGGGACGCCCCUCUGACCGCUUCCCUUUCCGUACUUAAUUGUACUCCGGGGAAUUUGCAACGAACGGGGACGCCUUUUCGUUGCAUCUGCCCAUCCGCGCCGGAGAGUCUGUAGCUGCGCCUGCCAUGGGAAAUUCGGAGUCCAAAAUACCUCUGAGCACCCCCCUUGGGUGCUUGCUGCGAAUUUUACCAAAUUGGGAUAUUCCCAAACCCUCAGAAAGAAAAAGCUUAUUUUCCUGUCCCAGGUGGCUUGGCCCCAAUACAAACUCAGUAACCAGUCACAUUGGCCCCCGACUGGCACUUUUGAUUUCAACACCCUCCGAGAUCUCGACAAUUUUUGUCGCCGCGCAGGCAAGGACAAUGAAAUUCCUUACGUCCAGGCUUUUUGGGACCUCCGUACCCACCCCGACCUAUGUUCUUCCUGCUCCACCUACCAAAUCCUCUUAUCUCGAACCCCCCGUAAAUCUUCCUCCACUACCUCUCCCCCUCCCUACUCCUCACCGGAGGAUCUGCCUGAACAUCUGUCCUCUCCUGCCAAUCUCAGCAACCAGUCGCCAUCAACGGCACGCCCUUCCCCCACUCCCUCUGCACCUCCUACCUCAGAGGCCAUGCCUCGCUCUCCCUCUACUCCCUCCGAGCCCCCUCCCUCAGAGGCCGCACUUCCUCUUGCCUCUCCGGUGGCGGCCCACACCCACUCCCACCAGCCAGCUAUCCUGGCCCCACUCCGAGAAGUGGCAGGCACAGAAGGUUUAAUCAGGGUCCAUGUUCCUUUCUCACUCCAAGACCUGUCCCAAAUUGAGACACGUUUAGGAUCCUUCUCAGCCAACCCGUCCACAUAUAUUAAAGAAUUCCAAUACCUCACUCAAACAUAAGAAGCCCUAGUACACUCGACUAGAUCCAGCCUCCCAAAAUGGGGCCACUGUAUUAGCCUCCCAUUUUAUCUCCCAAUCAGCACCCGACAUAAGAAAGAAACUAAAGAAAGCAGAAGAGGGGCCAGAGACUCCCAUCCAAGACCUGGUAAAAAUGGCCUUUAAAGUAUUCAAUGCCAGGGAAGAUGCGGCUGAGGCUGCCCGCCAAACUCGCAUGAAGCAGAAGGCUGCCCUCCAGACCCAAGCCCUAGUGGCGGCUCUAAGGCCGGCAGGGAACCAGAAGCCCAAGGCCGAAACCCAUGCCCCUCCAGGGGCAUGUUUCAAAUGUGGAAAGGAAGGACACUGGUCCCGAGCCUGUCCACAACCAUGGCCACCAACUAAGCCUUGCCCUAUCUGUCGGCUCCCGGGACACUGGAAGUCAGACUGCCCCAGCUUCCCCAGGGUGCCGGUUCCUCAAAACAGACACACUGGCGUUACGCAGCCGGCGGUCACCCUCAGUAGGGAGGAGCCUGCUUGCCAGGAGCCGACCUCCGAGGGAGCUCCGUUCCCCAGUCUACUAGGGCUGCUAGAUGACUAGCGGGGCCCUGGCUUUCCGACUCCGGUUACCCUCGCCGAGCCUAGGGUCACAAGACAUGGGGGCUACCUACUCCGCACUUCCUUCUUAUUCUGGCCAUCUCACCCCUUCCCAGGUCUUAGUCAUGGGAAUCGAUGGGACCCCAAGUAUCCCCUAUCAAACCCCACCACUCAUGUGCUCAUAUAACUCCACUCCAUUCACCCACUCCUUUUUAGUAAUCCCCACCUGCCCAGUUCCCCUUCUGGGGUGAGACAUCCUUUCAAAGCUGAAGGCCGUCAUAACCUUCCCCACCGCCAGCCCACACAGCCUUUUUCUCCUAGCCCUCAAUACUCUGCCUCAGAACUCCAGACCCUCCAGUCUACCCCCGGGGUACAGUUCAAGGAUGACUGGGCCUUCAAGCAUAACCUCCUCAUCCUCCCUGAAAAGCAAAGGUACCAGAUAAUCCAAGACAUCCACAAUUCACUCUACAUUGGGCCUAAAGCCUUAUACCGAUUCCUCAACCCACUUUUUCACCCUCACCAUCUCCUCAGUACCAUACAGGAAGUCCAGUCCUCAUGUACUGUCUGCGCCAAAACUAAUUCCCAGGGUUCCUGUCAUCCCCGGCGCCAGCUUCAUCAGCUACGCAGGUUCCUACCUGGCCAAGACUGGCAAAUUGAUUUCACCCAUAUGCCAAAGCACAAACAGUACCGGUAUCUGCUAACCAUUGUUGACACUUUUUCAAGCUGGAUUGAAGCUUACCCCACAGCCUCUGAGUCUGCCGGGACAGUAGCCACUCAUCUCAUUCAAGACAUCAUCCCACGCUUUGGACUCCCGGCUACCAUACAGUCAGACAACGGCCCAGCCUUUAUCUCCAAAGUCACUAAUGCCGUUUCUACCUCUCUAGGAAUUCAGUAGAAGCUACAUGCUGCCUACCAUCCUCAGUCCUCUGGUAAGGUGGAACGGGCCAAUGGCCUAAUAAAGGAGCAUCUGACUAAGCUCAUGCUUGAGCUCCGCCAAUCCUGGGUAACCUUAAUUCCUAUCACCCUCACCAGGGUAAGAGCAAGCCCCCGGGGCCCAUCACAGCUUAGCCCAUUUGAGCUGCUGUAUGGUUGCCCCUUCCUGCUUUCAACUCCCCCACCGCCAGAGACUACUCCUCUAGACAGCUACCUCCCCUACUUUACUCAGGAUUAGGAGGAGGGGCACUAGUCCACUCUCACCUGGCCAUAGCCCGACUGACCUCACAACUCCAAGCGGCUAUUGAUGACUCUACUGAGUCUUUAGCAUCACUCCAACGACAGAUCACCUCAGUUGCCCAAGUUGCCUUGCAGAACCGAAGAGCCCUGGACCUGCUCACUGCUGAACGAGGAGGGACCUGUAUCUUCCUACAGGAAGAGUGCUGUUACUACAUCAAUGAAUCCGGCCUAGUAGAAACCCAAAUCGAGAGCCUCCAGAAACUCAAAACUAACCUGCAGAGUCAGAAGUUCUCGGCUGAAGCCACGGCGUGUUCCUAUAGCGGCGCUUUCAAGAACUGACUCGAGUCACCAUCCACCAGAUGCUGCUCCAACCCUACCCUGAACGAGUGCAAGAAACAGACCUCUCCCCGAACAUCCAGGCUCCUUAGGAAAAGAAACCUCUUCAGAACCCCCCCGUCGACCCUUGUCAGCAGGAAGUAGCCAGAGAGACAACCGACGCCCCUGACCCCCUCUUUUUCUUUUCUUUAAGGAGUCGGGAAUGUUUGGAAAACUCUGCCCCUACCGCAAAAGCUCUCUCUCUCUCUCUUUCCCUCCCCCACAAAGAGGCUCCCUUAUCUCUCACUUUACAUACCGGCCAUAGCCCUCCCGCCGCCCAGCUUCCCGCCGCCCAGCUUCCCGCCCAGCAGUUCAAACUGACCAACAGUUGCCCACCACCUCGGCUUUUGGCUUCCCCACCCCCAGCCCUUCAGCCCCCUAUAAAACAACCCUGCCCCUUUGAGCGGCGCGGCCAUUUUUCCUUUUCGUCCCGGCUGGCCUGCCCGGAGGCUCUUUCCUCUCAAUAAAGCCUGAACUUAAGGAA